UUUUCUUUAUUAUCAAUCAAAUGUAUAAAUCAAGUGAUUUCUGAUAUAGGCUGAUAUUUUGAAGGUUACACAUCUCUAACUUGUUUAUUUUGUCACUCUAUUCAUCUGUGUUUCCUCUUAUUUUCAAUCUUAUUCCUGUGUCACCAAUGAUUAUGAUAGGGUUUUUUGUAUUGUUUUGAUGAGAUUGAGAUGUUUGUUAGGAUUAUGAGGAUCUCACAAUAAUAAAGGUGGUGCUAAUGUAACACUAGAAAAAUGAUUGAGUUGGUUUCCUUUAAUACAUACGAUCUCUUUUUCAUUUUCUUGUAAUUAUUCUUUUUUCUUUUUUUCUUUUUCGUUUUUUACUUAUAAUUAAUAUUUUAGCAGACUUUUAAUCUGUAUAACUUAUCUUCAUUGUUUAAUUAUCAGAAUAUAGAAGAUGACAUUUAAUGUUCUUUAGGAUAUAAGUAUAAAUUUAAUUAAUUUAUAUGUUCAAUACAUAUCUUUCUAAACUAUUUAAUGUCAAAGUUUGUUAGUCAUUACCUGUUUGAUUGAUGUAUAUAAUUGAGGAUGUACUUAAUAAAAAUAUUUAGCUUACAUUAUUUAAUAGAAAUCUCUGGUUCAUAAUCACUAUAUGAUUGUAUAAACAAAAUACAAAAGGUAAAAAAAUACGUAUUACUAUAAGAUUGUCAUAUUUUCCGUUUUUACCUAUCUUUUAUAAGUAAUUUUCUUUCGUAUCUAUCAAAUGUACAGAUCAAGUGGUUUCGGAUAUAGGUUGAUCUUUUGAAGGUUACACAUCUCUAACUUGUUUAUUUUGUCACUCUAUUCAUCUGUGUCUCCUCUUAUUUUUAAUUUUAUUCUUGCGUCACCAAUGAUUAUGAUAGGGUUUUUCGUAUUGUUUUGAUGAGGUUGAGAUGUUUGUUAGGAUUAUGAGGAUCUCACAAUAAUAAAGGUGAUGCUAAUGUAACAUUCGAAAAAUGAUUGAGUUUUUUUCCUUUAUACCAUACCGUCUCAUUUUCAUUUUCUUGUAAUUAUUCUUUUUUCUUUUUUUCUUUUUCUGUUUCUACUUAUAAUUAGUAUUUUAGCAUAUUUUUUAAUCUGUAUAACUUAUGUCAAUUGUUUAAUUAUUAGAAUAUAGAAGAUGACAUUUUAUGUUCUUUAGGAUAUAAGUAUAUAUUUAAUUAAUUUUGAUGUUCAAUACAUAUCUUUCUAAACUAUUUAAUGUCAAGGUUAGUUAAUCAUUACAUGUUUGAUUGAUUUAUAUAAUUGAGGAUGUACUUAAUAGAAAUAUUUAGCUUACAUUAUUUAAUAGAAAUCUCUUGUUCAUGAUCACUUUAUGAUUGUAUAAACAAAAUACAAAGGGUAAAAAAAUACGUACUGCAGAUAAAUUGUCAUAUUUUCUUUUUUUUUUCUAUCUUUUAUGAGUCAUUUUCUUUUUUAUCUAUCAAAUGUACAGAUCAAGUGAUUUCUAAUAUAGUUUGAUCUUUUGAAGGUAACACAUCUCUAACUUGUUUAUUUUGUCACUCUAUUCAUCUGUGUUUCCUCCUAUUUUAAAUUUUAUUCUUGCGUCACCAAUGAUUAUGAUAGGGUUUUUCGUAUUUUUUUGAUGAGAUUGAGAUGUUUGUUAGGAUUAUGAGGAUUUCACAAUAAUAAAGGGGAUGCUAAUGUAACACCAGAAAAAUGAUUGAGUUGGUUUCCUUCAAUACAUACGGUCUCAUUUAAAUUUUCUUGUAAUUAUUCUUUUUUCUUUUUUUCUUUUCCAUUUUCUUGUAAUUAUUCUUUUUUCUUUUUUUCUUUUUCAUUUUCUACUUAUAAUUAGUAUUUUAGCAUAUUUUUUAAUCUAUAUAACUUAUGUUAAUUGUUUAAUUAUCAGAAUAUAAAAGAUGACACUUUAUGUUCUUCAGGAUCUAAGUAUAUAUUUAAUUAAUUUUGAUGUUCAAUACAUAUUUUUCUAAACUAAUUAAUGUCAAGGUUUGUUACUCAUUACAUGUUUGAUUGAUUUUUAUAAUUGAGGAUGUACUUAAUAGAAAUACUUACCUUACAUUAUUUAAUAGAAAUCUCUGGUUCAUAAUAACUUUACGAUUGUAUAAACAAAAUACAAAGGGUAAAAAAAUACGUACUGCUGAAAAAUUGUCAUAUUUUCCUUUUUUUUCUAUCUUUUAUGAGUAAUAUUCUUUCUUAUCUAUCAAAUCUACGGAUCAAGUGAUUUCUGACAUAGGUUGAUGUUUUGAAGGUUACACAUCUCUAACUUUUUUAUUUUGUCACUCUAUUCAUCUGUGUUUAAUCUUAUUUUCAAUUUUAUUCUUGCGUCACCAAUGAUUAUAAUAGGGUUUUUCUUAUAGUUUUGAUGAGAUUGAGAUGUGAGUUAGUUUCCUUUAUACCACACGAUCUCAUUUUCAUUUUCUUAUAAUUAUUCUGUUUUAUUUUUUUCUUUUUCAUUUUCUACUUAUAAUUAGUCUUUUAGCAUAUUUUUUAAUCUAUAUAACUUAUGUCAAUUUUUAAUUAUCAGAAUUUAGAAGAUGACAUUUUAUGUUCCUAGGAUAUAAGUAUAUAUUUAAUUGAUUUUGAUGUUCAAUACAUAUCUUUUCAAACAAAUUAAUGUCAAGGUUUGUUACUCAUUACAUGUUUGAUUGAUUUAUAUAAUUGAGGAUGAACUUAAUAGAAAUAUUUACCUUACAUUAUUUAGUAAAAAUCUCUGGUUCAUAAUCUCUCCAUGAUUGUAUAAACAAAAUACAAUGGGUAAAAAAAUACGUAUUGUUGAAAAAUUGACAUAUUUUUCUUUUUUUUCUAUCAUUUAUGAGUAAUUUUCUUUCUUAUCUGUCAAAUGUACAUAUCAAGUGAUUUCUGAUAUAGGUUGAUCUUUGUAAGGUUACACAUCUCUAACUUGUUUAUUUUGUCACUCUAUUCAUCUGUGUUUCCUCUUAUUUUCAAUUUUAUUCUUGCCUCACCAAUGAUUAUGAUCGGGUUUUUUGUAUUGUUUUAAUGAGAUUAAGAUGUUUGUUAGGAUUGUGAGGAUCUCACAAUAAUAAAGGUGAUGCUAAUGUAACACUAGAAAAAUGAUUGAGUUGGUUUCCUUUAUACCACACGAUCUCAUUUUCAUUUUCUUAUAAUUAUUUUGUUUUCUUUUUCUCCUUUUCAUUUUCUACUUAUAAUUAGUCUUUUAGCAUAUUUUUUAAUUUGUAUAACUUAUGUUAAUUGUUUAAUUAUCAGAAUAUAGAAGAUGACAUUUUAUGUUCUUUAGGAUAUAAGUAUAUAUUUAAUUAUUUUGAUGUUCAAUACAUAUCUUUCUAAACAUUUAUUGUCAAGGUUUGUUAAUCAUUACAUGUUGAUUGAUUUAAUAAUGAGGAUGUACUUAAUAGAAAUUUUAGCUUACACUAUUUAAUAAAAUCUCUGGUUCAUAAUCACUUUAUGAUUGUAUAAACAAAAUACAAAGGCUAAAGAAAUAGUACUACGUAAAAUUGUCAUAUUUUCCUUUUUUUUCUAUCUUUUAUGAGUAUUUUCUUUUUAUCUAUCAAAUGUACAAAUCAAGUGAUUUCUGAUAUAGGUGAUCUUUUGAAGGUUACACAUCUCUAACUGUUUAUUUUGUCACUCUUAUCAUCUGUGUUUCCUCUUAUUUUCAAUUUUUUUUCCUCGUCACCAAUGAUUGAUGAUGGGUUUUGUAUUGUUUUGAUGAGAUUGAGAUGUUUGUAGGAUUAUGAGGAUCUCACAAAUAAUAAAGGUGUGCUAAUGUAACACUGGAAAAAUGAUUGAGUUGGUUUCCUUUAUACAACGUAUUAUUUCAUUUUCUUGUAAUUAUUCUUUUUCUUUUUUUCUUUUUCAUUUUCUUGUAUUAUUCUUUUAUUUUUUCUUUUCUUUUCUAUUAAUUAGAUUUUAGCAUAUUUUUUAAUCUAAUAACUAUGUUAAUUUUUAAUUAUCAGAAUAUAGAAGAUGACAUUUUAUGUUCUUUAGGAUAUAAGUAUAUAUUUAAUUAAUUUUGAUGUCAAUACAUAUUUUUCUAAACUAUUAAUGUCAAGGUUUGUUAAUCAUUACAUGUUGAUUGAUUUAAUAAUUGAGGAUUACUUAAUAAAAUAUUUGCUACAAUAUUUAAUAGAAAUUUCUGGUUCAUAAUCACUUUAUGAUUGUUAAACAAAUAUACAAAGGGUUAAAAAAAUACGUACUGCUGAAAAAUUGUCAUAUUUUCCUUUUUUUUCUAUCUUUUAUGAGUAAUUUUCUUUCUUAUCUAUAAAAGUACGAUCAAUUGAUUUCUGAUAUAGGUUAAUCUUUUGAAGGUUACACAUCUCUAAUUGUUUAUUUUGUCCUCUAUUCAUCUGUGUUUCCUCUUAUUUUCAAUUUAUUCUUCCUCACCAAGAUUAUGAUAGGGUUUUAUAUGUUUUAUGAAUAUUGAGAUGUUUGUAGGAUUAUGAGGAUCUCAAAUAAUAAAGGUGAUGCUAAUGUAACACUGGAAAAAUGAUUGAGUUGGUUUCCUUUAUACCAUACGUUCCAUUUUCAUUUUUCUUAAAUUAUUAUAUUUUCUNUACAUGUUUGAUUGAUUUAUAUAAUUGAGGAUGUACUUAAUAGAAAUAUUUAGCUUACAUUAUUUAAUAGAAAUCUCUGGUUCAUAAUCACUUUAUGAUUGUAUAAACAAAAUACAAAGGGUAAAAAAAUACGUACUGCUGAAAAAUUGUCAAAUUUUCCUUUUUUUUUCUAUCUUUUAUGAGUAAUUUUCUUUCUUAUCUAUCAAAUGUACAUAUCAAGUGAUUUCUCAUAUAGGUUGAUCUUUUAAAGGUUACACAUCUCUAACUUGUUUAUUUUGUCACUCUAUUCAUCUAUGUUUCCUCUUAUUUUCAAUUUUAUUCUUACGUCACCAAUGAUUAUGAUAGGGUUUUUCGUAUUCAUUUGAUGAGAUUUAGAUGUUUGUUAGAAUUUUGAGGAUCUCACAAUAAUAAAGGUGAUGCUAAUGUAACACUGGAUAAAUGAUAAAGUUGGUUUCCUUUAUAACAUACAGUCUCAUUUUCAUUUUCUUGUAAUUAUUCUUUUUUCUUUUUUUCUUUUGCAUUUUCUUGUAAUUAUUCUUUUUCUUUUUUUCUUUUUCAUUUUCUACUUAUAAUUAGUAUUUUAGCAUAUUUUUGAAUUUGUAUAACUUAUGUUAAUUGUUUAAUUAUCAGAAUAUAAACGAUGACAUUUUAUGUUCUUCAGGAUAUAAGUAUAUAUUUAAUUAAUUUUGAUGUUCAAUACAUAUCUUUCUAAACUAUUUAAUGUCAAGGUUUGUUAAUCAUUACAUGUUUGAUUGAUUUAUAUAAUUGAGGAUGUACUUAAUAGAAUAAAUAUUUCUACAAUAUUUUAAUAGAAAUUUCUGGUUCAUAAUCAUUUUGAUUGUAUAAACAAAAUACAAAGGUUAAAAAAUACGUACUGCUGAAAAAUGUCAUAUUUUCCUUUUUUCUAUCUUUUAUGAGUAAUUUUCUUUCUUAUCUAUAAAAGUACGGAUCAAUUGAUUUCUGAUAUAGGUUAAUCUUUGAAGGUUACACAUCUCUAAGUUGUUUAUUUUGUCCUCUAUUCAUCUGUGUUUCCUCUUAUUUUCAUUUAUUCUUGCAUCACCAACGAUUAUGAUAGGGUUUUUCAUAUCGUUUUUAUGAAUUGAGAUGUUUGUAAGGAUUAUGAGGAUCUCAAAUAAUAAAGGUGAUGCUAAUGUAACACUGGAAAAAUGAUUGAGUUGGUUUCCUUUAUACCAUACGGUUCAUUUUCAUUUUCUUAAAUUAUUAUAUUUUCUNGAUCAAGUGAUUUCUGAUAUAGGUUGAUCUUUUGAAGGUUACACAUCUCUAACUUUUUUAUUUUGUCACUCUAUUCAUCUGUGAUUCCUCUUAUUUUCAAUUUUAUUGUUGCCCCACCAAUGAUUAUGAUCGGAAUUUUUGUAUUGUUUUGAUGAGAUUGAAAUGUUUGUUAGGAUUAUGAGGAUCUCACAAUAAUAAAGGUGAUGCUAAUGUAACACUGGAUAAAUGAUAAAGUUGGUUUCCUUAAUAACAUACAGUCUCAUUUUCAUUUUCUUGUAAUUAUUCUUUUUUCUUUUUUUCUUUUGCAUUUUCUUGUAAAUAUUCUUUUUCUUUUUUUCUUUUUCAAUUUCUACUUAUAAUUAGUAUUUUAGCAUAUUUUUUAAUCUAUAUAACUUAUGUUAAUUAAUUAAUUAUCAGAAUAAAAAAGAUGACAUUUUAUGUUCUUCAGGAUAUAAGUAUAUAUUUAAUUAAUUUUGAUGUUCAAUACAUAUCUUUCUAAACUAAUUAAUGUCAAGGUUUGUUACUCAUUACAUCCAUGUUGAUUGAUUUAUAUAAUUGAGGUUGUACUAAUAUAAAUAUUUACUUUACAAUACUUUAAUAAGAACUCUGGUCAUAAUCACUUAUGAUUGUAUAACAACAAAUAAAAAAGGGUAAAAAAAUACGUACUCUGAAAAUUGUCAUAUCCUUUUUUUUCANNNNNNNNNNNNNNNNNNNNNNNNNGAGAGAUUCAAAUUACAUGUUGAUUGAUUUAUAAAUUGAGCGAAUAUUACUAUAUAAAUAUUUAGGCUUACAUAUUAAUAGAAAUUUCUGGUUCAUAAUCACUUUUAUGAUUGUUGUAAACAACAAACAAAGGUUAAAAAUACGUAGCUGCGAAAAAAUGUCAUAUUUUUUUUCUAUCUUUUAUGAGUAUUUUCUUCUUAUCUAUCAAAUGUACGAUCAAGUUGAUUUCUGAUAUUAGGUGUGAAUCUUUUGGAUGGUUACAACACUCUACCGUUGCUAUUUUGUCUCUCUAUCUUCUCUGUGUUUCUCUUAUUUUCAAUUUUAUUCUUCGUCAUCCACGAUUCAUGAAUAGCGGUUUUCUAUAUGUUUAUGAAUAUGAGAUGUUUGUAGGAUUAUAGAGGAUCUCACAUAAUAAAGUUGGUGACUAAUGUAACACUGGAAAAAUGAUUGAGUUGGUUCCUUUAUACAUACAGGUCUCAUUUCAUUUUCUUAAAUUAUUAUAUUUCUUUUCUUUUUUUCAUUUUCUUUAUUCUUCUUUUUUCUUGUUCAUUUCAUACUUAUAAUUAGUAUUUUACAUAUUUUUAAUAUUCAUAACUUAUGUUAAUUGUUUAAUUAUCAGAAUAUGAAGAUGACAUUUUAUGUUCUUUAGAUAUAAGUAUAUAUUUAAUAAUUUUGAUGUUCAAUACAUAUCUUUCUAAACUAAUUAAUGUCAAAGUUUGUUACUCAUUACAUGUUUGAUUGAAUAUAUAUUGAGGAUGUCAUUAAAAUAAAUAUUUAUGCUUACAUAUUUAAUAGAAUACUCUGGUUCAUAAUCACUUUAUGAUUGUAUAAACAAAAUACAAAAGGUAAAAAAAUACGUACUGCUGAAAAAUUGUCAUAUUUUCCGUUUUUCUAUCUUUAUGAGUAAUUUUCUUUCUUAUCUAUCAAAUGUAGCAAGAUCAAGUGUUUCAGAUAUAGGUUGAACUUUUGAAGGUUACACAUCUCUAACUUGUUUAUUUUGUCACUCUAUUCAUCGCGUGUUCCUCUAUUUUCAAUUUUAUUCUUGCUCACCAAUGAUUAUGAUAGGGUUUUUCGUAUUGUUUUGAUGAGAUUGAGAUGUUUGUUAGGAUUAUGAGGAUCUCACAAUAAUAAAAGGUGUGCUAAUGUAACACUGGAAAAUGAUUGAGUUGGGUUUCCUUUAUACAUACGGUCUUCUAUUUUCAUUUUCUUUUCUUUUUUGUAAUUAUUCUUUUUCUUUUUCUUUUACUAUAAUUAGUAUUUAGCAUAUUUUUAAUCUGUAUAACUUAUGUUAUUGUUUAAUUAUCAGAAUAUAGAAGAUGACAUUUUAUGUUCUUUAGGAUAUAAGUAUAUAUUAAUUAAUUUUGAUGUUCAAUACAUAUCUUCUAAAUUAUUAAUGUCAAGUUUUGUUAUCAUUACAUGUUUGAUUGAUUUAAAAUUGAGGAUGACUUAAUAGAAAUUUUAGCUUACAUUAUUUAAUAAAAUCUCUGGUUAAUAAUCACUUUAUGAUUGUAUAAACAAAAUACAAAGGUAAAAAAAUACGUACUGCUGUAAAUUGUCAUAUUUUCCUUUUUUUCUAUCUUUAUGAGUAAUUUUCUUUUUAUCUAUCAAAUGUAUAAAUCAAGUGAUUUCUGAUAUAGGUGAUAUUUUGAAGCGUACACAUCUCUAACUGUUUAUUUUGUCCCUCUAUUCAUCUGUGUUUCCUCUUAUUUUCAAUUUUCUACGUCACCAAUGAUUAUGAUUGGUUUUUGUAUUGUUGAUGAGAUUGAGAUGUUUGUUAGGAUUAUGAGAUCUCACAAUAAUAAAGGUGGCUAAUGUAACACUGAAAAAUGUUGAGUUGGUUUCUUUAAUACAUACGUCUCAUUUUCAUUUCUUGUAUUAUUCUAUUCUUUUUUUCUUUUUCAUUUUCUUGUAAUUAUUCUUUUUCUUUUUUUCUUUUUCAUUUUCUACUUAUAAUAGAUUUUAGCAUAUUUUAAUCUAUAUAAUUAUGUUAAUGUUAAUUAUCAGAAUAUAGAAGAUGGACAUUUUAUGUUCUUUAGGAUAUAAGUAUAUAUUUAAUUAAUUUUUGAUGUUCAAUACAUACUUUCUAACUAAUUAAUGUCAAGGUUUGUACUCAUUACAUGUUUGAUUGAUUUAUAUAAUGAGGUUUACUUAAUAUAAAUAUUUAGCUUACAAUAUUUAGAAAAUUCUGGUUCAUAAUCACUUUUGAUUGUAUAAACAAAAUAAAGGUAAAAAAAUACGUACUGCUGAAAAUUGUCAUAUUUUCCUUUUUUCUAUCUUUAUGAGUAGUUUUUUCUUAUCUAUCAAAUGUACGGAUCAAUUGAUUUCUGAUAUAGGUUAUCUUUGAGGUUACACAUCUCUAAUUGUUUUCAUUUUGCCUCUCUAUAUCUGUGUUUCCUCUAUUUUCAAUUUUAUUCUCACCAAUGAUUAUGAUAGGGUUUUUCAUAUGUUUUGAUAUUGAGAUGUUGUAGGAUUAUGAGGAUCUCAACAAUAAUAAAGGUGUGCUAAUGUAACACUGGAAAAAUGAUUGAGUUGGUUUCCUUUAUACAUACGGUCCAUUUUCAUUUUCUUGUAAUUAUUAUUUCUUUUUUUUCAUUUUCUUGUAAUUAUUCUUUUUCUCUUUCUUGUUCAUUUUCUACUUAUAAUUUAGUAUUUUAGCAUAUUUUUAAUAUUAUAACUUAUGUUAAUUGUUUAAUUAUAGAAUAUAGAGAGACAUUUUAUGUUCUUUAGGAUAUAAGUAUAUAAUUUAAUUAAUUUGAUGUUCAAACAUAUCUUUCUAAACUAUUUAUGUCAAGUUUGUUACUCAUUACAUGUUUGAUUUUAUAUAAUUGAGGUUGUACUUAAAAAAAUAUUUAGCUUACAAUAUUUAAUAGAAAUCCUGGUUCAUAAUCACUUUGAUUGUAUAAACAAAUAAAAAGGUUAAAAAAAUACGUACUGCUAAAAUUGUCAUAUUUUCCUUUUCCUAUUCUUUAUGAGUAAUUUUCUUUCUUAUCUAUCAAAUGUACAAUCAAGUGAUUUCUGAUAUAGGUUGAUCUUUUGAAGGUUACCAUCUCUAACUUGUUAUUUUGUCACUCUAUUCAUCGUGUUUCCUCUUAUUUUCAAUUUUAUUCUUGCGUCACCAAUGAUUAUGAUAGGGUUUUUCGUAUUGUUUUGAUGAGAUUGAGAUGUUGUUAGGAUUAUGAGGAUCUCACAAUAAUAAAGGUGUGCUAAUGUAACACUGGAAAAAUGAUUGAGUUGGUUCCUUAUAAUACGCCAUAUGUGUCUUUUCAUUUUCAUUUCUUGUAAUUAUUCUUUUUCUUUUUCUUUUCUUCUACUAUAAUUAGUAUUUUAGCAUAUUUUUAAUCUAUAUAACUUAUGUUAUGUUUAAUUAUUAGAAUAUGAAGAUGACAUUUUAUGUUCUUUAGGAUAUAAGUAUAUAUUUAAUUAAUUUUGAUGUUCAAUACAUAUCUUUCUAAACAUUAUGUCAAGGUUUGUAACUCAUUACAUGUUUGAUUGAUUUAUAAUAAUUGAGGAUGUACUUAAUAGAAAUUUUAGCUUACAUUAUUUAAUAAUCUCUGGUUCAUAAUCACUUUAUGAAUUGUAUAACAAAAUACAAAGGGCUAAAAAAUACGUACUACUGUAAAAUUGUCAUAUUUUUCCUUUUUUACUAUCUUUUAUGAGUAAUUUCUUUAUUAUCUAUCAAAUGUAAAAUCAGUGAUUUCUGAUAUAGGUGAUUUUUGAAGGUUACACAUCUCUACAUGUUAUUUUGUCACUAUUCAUCUGUGUUUCCUCUUAUUUUCAAUUUUAUUCCUACGUCACCAAUGAUUUAUGAUAGGGUUUUGUAUUGUUUUGAUGAGAUUGAGAUGUUUGUUAGGAUUAUGAGGAUCUCAAAAUAAAAAGGUGCUAAUGUAACACUGGAAAAUGAUUGAGUUGGUUCCUUUAAUACAGUACUUAUUUUCAUUUUCUUGUAAUUAUUCUUUUCUUUUUUUCUUUUUCAUUUCUUGUAAUUAUUCUUUUUCUUUUUUUCUUUUCUUUCUACUUUAUAUUAGUAUUUUAGCAUAUUUUUAAUCUAUAUAACUUAUGUUAAUUGUUUUAAUUAUUAGAAUAUAGAAGAUGACAUUUUAUGUUCUUUAGGAUAUAAGAGUAUAAUUAAUAAUUUUGAUGUUCAAUACAUAUCUUUCUAAACUAAUUUAUGUCAAGGUUGUUACUCAUUACAUGUUUGAUUAUUUAAAAAUUGAGGAUUACUUAAUAAAAUUUUUAGCUUACAUAUUUAAUAAAAUCUCUGUUCAUAAUCACUUUGAUAUGUAUAAACAAAAUACAAAGGCUAAAUACGUACUGCUGAAAAAUUGUCAUAUUUUCCUUUUUUUUCUAUCUUUUAUGAGUAAUUUUCUUUCUUAUCUAUCAAAAGUAGCGGAUGCAAUCAAGUGAUUUCUGAUAUAGGUAGAUCUUUUGAAGGUUACACAUCUCUAACUUUUUUAUUUGGUCACUCUAUUCAUCUGUGUUUCCUCUUAUUUUCAAUUUUAUUCUUGCCUCACCAAUGAUUAUGAUCGGGUUUUUUGUAUUGUUUUGUUGAGAUUGAGAUGUUUGUUAGGAUUAUGAGGAUCUCACAAUAAUAAAGGUGAUGCUAAUGUAACACUAGAAAAAUGAUUGAGUUGGUUUCCUUUAUGGCAUACGGUCUCAUUUUCAUUUUCUUGUAAUUAUUCUUUUUUCUUUUUUUCUUUUGCAUUUUCUUGUAAUUAUUCUUUUUCUUUUUUUCUUUUUAAUUUUCUACUUAUAAUUGGUCUUUUAGCAUAUUUUUUAAUUUGUAUAACUUAUGUUAAUUGUUUAAUUAUUAGAAUAUAGAAGAUGACAUUUUAUGUUCUUUAGGAUAUAAGUUUAUAUUUAAUUAAUUUUGAUGUUCAAUACAUAUCUUUCUAAACUAUUUAAUGUCAAGGUUUGUUAAUCAUUACAUGUUUGAUUGAUUUAUAUAUAACUCCUACAUGAAUUAUCUUUAUAAAUCGAAUCACUAUUUAAUAGAAAUCUAUGGUUCAUAAUCACUUUAUGAUUGUAUAAACAAAAUACAAAGGGUAAAAAAAUACGUACUGCUGAAAAAUUGUCAUAUUUUCCUUUUUUAUCUAUCUUUUAUGAGUAAUUUUCUUUUUGAUCUAUCAAAUGUACAGAUCAAGUGAUUUCUCAUAUAGGUUGAUCUUUUAAAGGUUACACAUCUCUAACUUUUUUAUUUUGUCACUCUAUUCAUCUAUGAUUCCUCUUAUUUUCAAUUUUAUUCUUGCCUCACCAAUGAUUAUGAUCGGAAUUUUUGUAUUGUUUUGAUGAGAUUGAGAUGUUUGUUAGGAUUAUGAGGAUCUCACAAUAAUAAAGGAGAUGCUAAUGUAACACUUGAAAAACGAUUGAGUUGGUUUCCUUCAUACCACAC
rnacentral:lncRNA from 1 species